rnacentral:tRNA from 1 species
CAUGAAGUAGCUUAACCAACAAAAGCAUCUGGUCUACACCCAGAAGACUCCACAACCAAUGGACAUCAUGA